UGCCGGGCUCGGCCGGGGCCCCGGCGUCGGCGGCGUCGGUUCCGGCGGGGGGCCCGUCGGCGGCGGUUCCGGGACCGGGGGCCGCCAG
rnacentral:tRNA from 1 species